UGCCAAAGGCAUCGCUGGGUAGCUAUGUGCGGAAGGGAUAAGUGCUGAAAGCAUCUAAGCAUGAAGCCCCCCUCGAGAUGAGAUUUCCCAUCACUUUAUGUGAGUAAGAUCCCUGAAAGAUGAUCAGGUAGAUAGGUCUGAGGUGGAAGCGUGGCGACACGUGCAGCUGACAGAUACUAAUCGAUCGAGGACUUAACCAC
rnacentral:rRNA from 1 species